CAUGCAAGUCGUACGAGAGUUUUUAACUCAAGUGGCGGACGGGUGAGUAACACGUAAGAAUUUGCCUUUAGGAGGGGGACAACAGUUAGAAAUGACUGCUAAUACCCCAUAUGCUUUCGAGUGAAAUGGAUUUUUCCGCCUAGAGAGAAGCUUGCGGCUGAUUAGCUUGUUGGUGGGGUAAUGGCUCACCAAGGCGACGAUCAGUAUCUGGUUUGAGAGGACGAUCAGACACACUGGAACUGAGACACGGUCCAGACUCCUACGGGAGGCAGCAGUGGGGAAUUUUCCGCAAUGGGCGAAAGCCUGACGGAGCAAUACCGCGUGAGGGAUGACGGCCUAUGGGUUGUAAACCUCUUUUUUCAGGGAGGAAUCAAUGACGUGUACCUGAAGAAUAAGCAUCGGCUAACUCCGUGCCAGCAGCCGCGGUAAGACGGAGGAUGCAAGUGUUAUCCGGAAUCACUGGGCGUAAAGCGUCUGUAGGUGGUCCAAUAAGUCAACUGUUAAAUCUUGAGGCUCAACCUCAAAAUCGCAGUCGAAACUAUUAGACUAGAGUAUAGUAGGGGUAAAGGGAAUUUCCAGUGGAGCGGUGAAAUGCGUAGAGAUUGGAAAGAACACCGAUGGCGAAGGCACUUUACUGGGCUAUUACUAACA
rnacentral:rRNA from 1 species